GGGGAUCCGACUUUAGUCCCUUUUUUAUCGGAUUUUUCCUUCAACUGAUAUCAGAACAUGGUAUCAGAUCUGAAUACAAACAAAGUUUGGUUAAAAAAUCUAGUUCUAUUCAUAUUUUUUUUAGAAUUUCUGAUCUGGUUUUUGACCAGAUUUUUUUAUAUGAAAUUGAAUCAAGUUCCAUCCUGAUUUUUGAAAAAUUCUGAUCUGGUUUGACCAGAUUUUCAUGUAUAAAAUCGUGAUCUG
rnacentral:lncRNA from 1 species